rnacentral:rRNA from 1 species
GACGAACCACACAAACGUUAUUCGGAAUUACUGGGCGUAAAGCGCGCGUAGGUGGUUUGUUAAGUUGGAUGUGAAAGCCCCGGGCUCAACCUGGGAACUGCAUUCAAAACUGACAAGCUAGAGUAUGGUAGAGGGUGGUGGAAUUUCCUGUGUAGCGGUGAAAUGCGUAGAUAUAGGAAGGAACACCAGUGGCGAAGGCGACCACCUGGACUGAUACUGACACUGAGGUGCGAAAGCGUGGGGAGCAAACAGG